CCUUGUGGAGGAGGACGCCGAAGGUGGGGCUAAUGACUGGGGUGAAGUCGUAACAAGGUAGCCGUACCGGAAGGUGCGGCUGGAUCACCUCCUAACAGGGAGACAACAAAAUGUAAAUAUUAAUUUUGUCACCUUAGGUCGAUCGGUAUCUCAGAUUCUUAUUUUAAGAAUUUCAGUUUCUAAGUUUUUUCUAGGUCACACCCAUCACUUUUUCCUGGGCCAUUAGCUCAGGUGGUUAGAGCGCACCCCUGAUAAGGGUGAGGUCCCUGGUUCAAGUCCAGGAUGGCCCAUAUCUCUAUGUUGGGGGUAUAGCUCAGUUGGUAGAGCGCCUGCUUUGCAAGCAGGAUGUCAGCGGUUCGAGUCCGCUUACCUCCACUGAAUACCACCUCUUACAUGUAUUCAAAGACGGAAAUUGUUUUGAGUCGUGUCCUAAUUUGCUCUGAGCGAAUCUAGCUUCCUAUUUUAUUCAAUAAAUAAGAUGCUGGACUCAUUGAAUUUUUUUUCAUUGUUUUCAGAGAACCUUGACAACUGCAUAGAUUAUUUUUGAAGACAAUAAGCAUCUUUAAUGAUGCAGAUUUAUUAUUUGUGCGAAUGCAUUAAAUAACAAUUCUAUUAAGCUGAUGCUUCAAUUAUUGAAGUUAUUGGUCAAGCUACAAAGGGCUCACGGAGGAUACCUAGGCACACAGAGGC
rnacentral:misc_RNA from 1 species